AUGCAUUUCUGCCUACAAUUAGUGCACAACUUCAAGCCUUUGUUUGCUGCUACAUAUGGAAAUACUACUUUUAACAUAGGAAAUUUCGAGUCGAGAUUUGUACCAGCUCUGAAGGUCAAUUUCAGGCGCCUUCUCUAUCUUUUUUGGAACUCUCCCAUGUGCUUUUAUAUGAGUGAUGAACAACUUCUUUGUUCUAUACUCUCAAUAAAAGAUAGAAAGUGUUUUGAAUUGACUGGAAUUUCCAUGUCUUUCUUUUUUUGUACAGGCAUGACUCAUGAAUUUUCCUUCUCAGUAUCUUAG
rnacentral:rRNA from 1 species